GGCCUUGUGCUGGAACUGGUAGACAGACCGGACUUAAAAUCCGUUGAAGCCUAGCUUCGUGUGAGUUCGAUUCUCACCAAGGCCACCA
rnacentral:tRNA from 1 species